rnacentral:RNase_P_RNA from 1 species
UGAGUCGACUGGGCGGCCGCACCUCUCGGUAACGGGCGGUGAGGAAAGUCGGGGCUCCACAGGGCAGGGUGCUCGCGAAACGUGAGUCACGGUGACGUGCAGGAAAGUGCCACAGAAAACAGACCGCCGAUGGCUCGGGUGACCGAGUACAGGCAAGGGUGAAACGGUGCGGUAAGAGCGCACCGCGCCUUGAGCGAUCAAGGUGGCUAGGUAAACCCCACCCGGAGCAAGAUCAAACAUGGGGGCGCGUGGCCCGCAUGCCUCGUACCACGAGGCACUCCCAAGGUAGAUCGCUCAGAUGGAUGGCCGCACAGCCCUUCGCAAGAGGGGUGGACAGAACCCCGCUUACAGGUCGACUCAUCAU